rnacentral:rRNA from 1 species
UACGGAGGGGGCAAGCGUUGUUCGGAAUUACUGGGCGUAAAGGGCGCGCAGGCGGCUGCUCAAGUCAGGCGUGAAAGGCCUGGGCUCAACCCGGGAAUUGCGCUUGAGACUGGGCUGGCUUGAGUGCGGGAGAGGAUGGUGGAAUUCCCAGUGUAGAGGUGAAAUGCGUAGAUAUCAGGAGGAACACCGAUGGCGAAGGCAGCUCGCUGGGACGGUACUGACGCUGAGGCGCGAAAGCGUGGGGAGCAAACAGG